UACGGAGGGUGCGAGCGUUGUCCGGAAUCAUUGGGCGUAAAGGGCGCGUAGGUGGCCCGGUCAGUUCGUGGUGAAAGCGCGGGGCUCAACCCUGCGUCGGCCAUGAAUACUGCCGCGGCUGGAGCACUGUAGAGGCAGGCGGAAUUCCCGGGUGGUAGCGGUGGAAUGCGUAGAGGAUCCGGAAAGAACACCGGUGGCGAAGGCGGC
rnacentral:rRNA from 1 species